rnacentral:rRNA from 1 species
CCAAGCUACUAAGAGCCAACGGUGGAUGCCUUGGCACUGACUACCGAUGAAGGUCGUGAGAGGCUGCGAUAAGCCGCGGGGAGCUGCCUACUAAGCUUUGAUCCGCGGAUGACCGAAUGGGGAAACCCGACACUCGUAAUGGAGUGUCACUGCCGUCUGAACACAUAGGGCGGCUAGAGGGAACCGGGUGAACUGAAACAUCUAAGUAACCCGAGGAAAAGAAAGCAACAGCGACUCCCUGAGUAGCGGCGAGCGAAACGGGAAGAGCCUAAACUCAGGUGGUGGAAAGCCUGGCGGCGUUGCCACCUGGGGGUUGUGGGAACCGAUUGGGAGAGCGCCAGAUCUCCCGCAGAGUUACAAAGACAGUGGGUAGUGGAAUCGCUCUGGAAAGGCGAGCCACAGAGGGUAACGGCCCCGUACACGAAACUCAUCUGUCCUCUGAUCGUGUCUCCCGAGUAGCGCCGGAUCCGGGAAAGCCGGCGUGAAUCUGCGAGGACCACCUCGUAAGGCUAAGUAUAAGUCAGUGACCGAUAGUGAACUAGUACCGUGAGGGAAAGGUGAAAAGCACCCCGGGAGGGGAGUGAAAUAGUACCUGAAACCGUUGGUUUACAAGCAGUCAGAGUGUCGCCUCCGUCGCCUUGUGCCUCGGAGGUCACGAUGGCGUGCCUUUUGAAGAAUGAGCCUGCGAGUUACGGUGUGUGGCAAGGUUAACCCGUGAGGGGAAGCCGGAGCGAAAGCGAGUCUGAAUAGGGCGUUCAGUCGCAUGCUGUAGACCCGAAGCCGAGUGAUCUAGCCAUGGGCAG